rnacentral:sRNA from 1 species
GACCACUCCAUCGGAGGAGAUAAGGCCAUACGGACAGCCGGGUCCACUGCCGA